rnacentral:rRNA from 1 species
AUUGAACGCUGGCGGCAGGCCUAACACAUGCAAGUCGAGCGGAUGAAGGGAGCUUGCUCCUGGAUUCAGCGGCGGACGGGUGAGUAAUGCCUAGGAAUCUGCCUGGUAGUGGGGGAUAACGUCCGGAAACGGGCGCUAAUACCGCAUACGUCCUGAGGGAGAAAGUGGGGGAUCUUCGGACCUCACGCUAUCAGAUGAGCCUAGGUCGGAUUAGCUAGUUGGUGGGGUAAAGGCCUACCAAGGCGACGAUCCGUAACUGGUCUGAGAGGAUGAUCAGUCACACUGGAACUGAGACACGGUCCAGACUCCUACGGGAGGCAGCAGUGGGGAAUAUUGGACAAUGGGCGAAAGCCGAUCCAGCCAUGCCGCGUGUGUGAAGAAGGUCUGCGGAUUGUAAAGCACUUUAAGUUGGGAGGAAGGGCAGUAAGUUAAUACCUUGCUGUUUUGACGUUACCAACAGAAUAAGCACCGGCUAACUUCGU